rnacentral:rRNA from 1 species
GGAGUUUGGACCGUGUCUCAGUUCCAAUGUGGCCGUUCACCCUCUCAGGCCGGCUAUUGAUCGUUGCUUUGGUAGGCCGUUACCCUGCCAACUGGCUAAUCAAACGCGGGUCCAUCCUUAAGCGAAAUUCUUUCCUCACUAUGUCAUGCGACACUUGUAAGCAUAUGGUGUAUUAGCACCGAUUUCUCGUUGUUAUUCACCUCUUAAGGGCAGGUUACCCACGCGUUACUCACCCGUCCGCCACUAGAAUUUCCAAAAAUCCACCGAAGUCUCAUCUUGGAGUUCCCGUUCGACUUGCAUGUGUUAGGCACGCCGCCAGCGUUCAUC